CCCACAGGGACCUGGUUGUCAGAUGCACGGGUCUCACUAUGGGAGCUGUCCCCACCUGCUCUGCCUGAGGAGCCACUCCUCACAACGGCCCCGCCCCAAACUGCGCCAGCCAGUCCCAGCUGCUAAGGGCCCAGGCGAGCACAGUCUUCCAUGCCGACCGGUGCAGGUGCACUUACCCGCGUCCCUCUCCCCGCUGCCCAGGAGAAUGAGGACAAUGUGAUGCUCAGCCGCUGAGGCCAAUCCAGGUAACCAGCUGCUGCCGCCCAGUCAGCCCCCCUGGUGUUCCAGCCCAAGGCAGGCAGCACUCUGUGCUUGGGGCCUUGGGGCCGGUCCAGCGGGGAGCCUGCCUUGAUCUCUGCGAUCAGGAAUGUGGCUGAGCAGAUGCAGCUUCUACCUCCAAAUGGACACGCCUCUCAGAUGCUCUGUUGCUAGAAGGGUCCUGGCAGUGCAGGGAAAGGUGGCUCUGCACUGGAGGCUCCACAUAAAGGGCUCAAAACUUCUGGUCCAGUGUCUAAAAGCUGUUCACAGGGAUGACUGGACCCUACUAAGCAUUCUUUCAUCUGUAGUGAACAUUUCACCAAAAAAAACUCUUGGACAGGCUGGAGGAUCAGUACUACGUGCUCAAGCCCACGGCCUUGCCCUCCAACUUCCACCUGACUGAGAAGGAGGAGCUAAAGGCCGUGGCCACCC